GUCCACGCAGUAAACGAUGAUAACUCGUUGUCGGCGAUACACAGUCGGUGACUAAGCGAAAGCGAUAAGUUAUCCACCUGGGGAGUACGUUCGCAAGAAUGAAACUCAAAGGAAUUGACGGGGCCCGCACAAGCGGAGGAACAUGUGGUUUAAUUCGAUGAUACGCGAGGAACCUUACCCGGGCUUGAAAGUUAGCGACGAUUCUUGAAAGAGGAUUUCCCUUCGGGGCGCGAAACUAGGUGCUGCAUGGUUGUCGU
rnacentral:rRNA from 1 species